UUCCUACGGGGGGCUGCAGUGAGGAAUAUUGCGCAAUGGAGGAAACUCUGACGCAGCAACGCCGCGUGGGUGAAGAAGGCUUUCGGGUUGUAAAGCCCUGUCAGGCGGGAAGAAACCUUUACGGAUAAAUAGUCCGUGAAACUGACGGUACCGCCAAAGGAAGCACCGGCUAACUCCGUGCCAGCAGCCGCGGUAAGACGGAGGGUGCAAGCGUUGUUCGGAAUCACUGGGCGUAAAGCGCGUGUAGGCGGUUCGAUAAGUCGAAUGUGAAAGCCCGAGGCUCAACCUCGGAAGUGCAUUCGAAACUGUCGGGCUUGAGUACGGGAGAGGGAAGUGGAAUUCCUGGUGUAGAGGUGAAAUUCGUAGAUAUCAGGAGGAACACCGGUGGCGAAGGCGGCUUCCUGGACCGAUACUGACGCUGAGACGCGAAAGCGUGGGGAGCAAACAGGAUUAGAUACCCCGGUAGUCUGA
rnacentral:rRNA from 1 species